rnacentral:tRNA from 1 species
UUGGCUCAGUAGCUCAGUUGGUUAGAGUGCCGGCCUGUCACGCCGGAGGUCGAGGGUUCGAGCCCCUUCGGCUCAG